rnacentral:rRNA from 1 species
CCUACGGGAGGCAGCAGUGGGGAAUUUUGGACAAUGGGCGCAAGCCUGAUCCAGCAAUGCCGCGUGCAGGAUGAAGGCCUUCGGGUUGUAAACUGCUUUUGUACGGAACGAAAAGGCUCUGGUUAAUACCUGGGGCCCAUGACGGUACCGUAAGAAUAAGCACCGGCUAACUACGUGCCAGCAGCCGCGGUAAUACGUAGGGUGCAAGCGUUAAUCGGAAUUACUGGGCGUAAAGCGUGCGCAGGCGGUUAUGUAAGACAGAGGUGAAAUCCCCGGGCUCAACCUGGGAACUGCCUUUGUGACUGCAUAGCUAGAGUACGGCAGAGGGGGAUGGAAUUCCGCGUGUAGCAGUGAAAUGCGUAGAUAUGCGGAGGAACACCGAUGGCGAAGGCAAUCCCCUGGGCCUGUACUGACGCUCAUGCACGAAAGCGUGGGGAGCAAACAGGAUUAGAUACCCUGGUAGUC